UUACCCUUUGUGGGGGACAACCCUGGGAAACUGGGGCUAAUACCGCAUACGCCCAUUUAUGGGGAAAGAUUUAUUGCCGAAGAUGGCCCCGCGUCCGAUUAGGUUGUUGGUGAGGUAACGGCUCACCAAGCCUACGAUCGGUAGCUGGUCUGAGAGGACGAUCAGCCACACUGGGACUGAGACACGGCCCAGACUCCUACGGGAGGCAGCAGUGGGGAAUCUUGGACAAUGGGGGCAACCCUGAUCCAGCCAUGCCGCGUGAGUGAAGAAGGCCUUCGGGUUGUAAACCUCUUUCGCCGGUGAAGAUAAUGACGGUAGCCGGAGAAGAAGCCCCGGCUAACUCCGUGCCAGCAGCCGCGGUAAUACGGAGGGGGCUAGCGUUGUUCGGAAUUACUGGGCGUAAAGCGCGCGUAGGGGCGGUACAAGUUGGUUGUGAAAGCCCGGGGCUCAACCCCGAUGUGCGUCCAAAACUGUGCUGCUCGAGGCCGAGAGAGGGUGGCGGAAUUCCCAGUGUAGAGGUGAAAUUCGUAGAUAUUGGGAAGAACACCAGUGGCGAAGGGGCCACCUGGCUCGGUACUGACGCUGAGGCGCGAAAGUGGGGAGCAAACAGGAUUAGAUACCCUGGUAGUCCACGCCGUAAACGAUGAGCGCUAGAUGUCGGGGGGUAUGCCCUUCGGUGUCGCAGCUAACGCAUUAAGCGCUCCCCUGGGGAGUACGGUCGCAAGAUUAAAACUCAAAGGAAUUGACGGAGGCCCGCACAAGCGUGGAGCAUGUGGUUUAAUUCGACGCAA
rnacentral:rRNA from 1 species